AGUGAACGCUGGCGGUAGGCCUAACACAUGCAAGUCGAACGGCAGCACAGUAAGAGCUUGCUCUUACGGGUGGCGAGUGGCGGACGGGUGAGGAAUACAUCGGAAUCUACUUUUUCGUGGGGGAUAACGUAGGGAAACUUACGCUAAUACCGCAUACGACCUACGGGUGAAAGCAGGGGAUCUUCGGACCUUGCGUGAUUGAAUGAGCCGAUGUCGGAUUAGCUAGUUGGCGGGGUAAAGGCCCACCAAGGCGACGAUCCGUAGCUGGUCUGAGAGGAUGAUCAGCCACAGAGGAGCUGCGCCACGGUCCCGACUACUACGGGAGGCAGCAGUGGAGAAUAUUGGACAGUGGGAGCAAGCCUGCUCCAGCCAUACCGCGUGGGUGAAGGCCUUCGGGUUGUAAAGCCCUUUUGUUGGGAAAGAAAAGCAGCAGGUUAAUACCCCGCUGUUCUGACGGUACCCAAAGAAUAAGCACCGGCUAACUUCGUG
rnacentral:rRNA from 1 species